rnacentral:rRNA from 1 species
UACCUUGCAGUCGAGCGGUAGCCAGGGAGCUUGGUCCUGGGUGACGAGCGGGGGACGGGUGAGUAAUGUCUGGGAAACUGCCUGAUGGAGGGGGAUAACUACUGGAAACGGUGGCUAAUACCGCAUAACGUCUCAAGACCAAAGAGGGGGACCUUCUGGCCUCUUGCCAUCUGAUGUGCCCAGAUGGGAUUAUCUAUUAGGUGGGGUAACGGCUCACCUAGGCGACAAUCCCUAUCUGGUCUGAGAGGAUGACCACCCCCACUGGAACUGAGACACGGUCCACACUCCUACGGGAGGCACCAGUGGGGAAUAUUGCACAAUGGGCGCAAGCCUGAUGCACCCAUGCCCCGUGUAUGAAAAAAGCCUUCGGGUUGUAAAGUACUUUCUCCGGGGAGGAAAGGGUUGUGGUUAAUAACCCCACCGAUUGACGUUACCCCCAAAAAAAACACCGGCUAACUCCGUGCCACCACCCGCGGUAAUACGGAGGGUGCACGCGUUAAUCGCAAUUACUGGGCGUAAAGCGCACGCACGCGGUCUGUCAAGUCUGAUGUGAAAUCUCCGGGCUCACCCUGGGAACUGCAUUCUAAACUGGCAGGCUAUAGUCUUGUAUAGGGGGGUAGAAUUCCAGGUGUAUCGCUGAAAUGCGUAUAGAUCUGGAGGAGUACCGGUGGCGAAAGCGGCCCCCUGGACAAAGACUGACGCUCACGUGCGAAAGCGUGUGGAGCACACAGGAUUAUAUACCCUGGUAGUCCACGCCGUAUACGAUGUCGACUUGUAGGAUGUGCCCUUGAGGCGUGGCUUCCCGGAGCUAACGCGUUAAGUCGACCCGCCUG